rnacentral:rRNA from 1 species
CACAUGCAAGUCGAACGAGAGAUGAGGAGCUUGCUUUCAAAUCGAGUGGCGAACGGGUGAGUAACGCGUGAGGAACCUGCCUCAAAGAGGGGGACAACAGUUGGAAACGACUGCUAAUACCGCAUAAGCCCACGGCUCGGCAUCGAGCAGAGGGAAAAGGAGCAAUCCGCUUUGAGAUGGCCUCGCGUCCGAUUAGCUAGUUGGUGAGGUAAUGGCCCACCAAGGCGACGAUCGGUAGCCGGACUGAGAGGUUGAACGGCCACAUUGGGACUGAGACACGGCCCAGACUCCUACGGGAGGCAGCAGUGGGGAAUAUUGCACAAUGGGGGAAACCCUGAUGCAGCGACGCCGCGUGGAGGAAGAAGGUCUUCGGAUUGUAAACUCCUGUUGUUGAGGAAGAUAAUGACGGUACUCAACAAGGAAGUGACGGCUAACUACGUGCCAGCAGCCGCGGUAAAACGUAGGUCACAAGCGUUGUCCGGAAUUACUGGGUGUAAAGGGAGCGCAGGCGGGAGAACAAGUUGGAAGUGAAAUCCAUGGGCUCAACCCAUGAACUGCUUUCAAAACUGUUUUUCUUGAGUAGUGCAGAGGUAGGCGGAAUUCCCGGUGUAGCGGUGGAAUGCGUAGAUAUCGGGAGGAACGCCAGUGGCGAAGGCGGCCUACUGGGCACCAACUGACGCUGAGGCUCGAAAGUGUGGGUAGCAAACAGGAUUAGAUACCC